CAGUUAUUCAGAUAUGAUAGGAACUUUCCAAGAAAUGGAGUUUUCAGAAUCAUCCAUUAUUUUCGACUGUAUUCUAGUCCAGCGACUCUAAAGAAGUCACGUCCCAUCGCACUCUUCCGAUCUGUCACGCUCUUCUUUGGUUUCUCGUUAUUUUUCCAAAGAACCAGUAGUUGAAAUAAUGAAUGGGAAUCAUCGAAAUCUGAUAGAAUGGUUUACUACUACAACUGACCGGAAGGGCGGUAUAGAGGCGCUUAAACACAAAUCGACAAUGGUUAAAAGCGUCCGCAGAAGGAAAAUAAAUGAGGACCUACAGGAAAUUGGUACUCUCACAUGAACUCUCCUCGGGUAAGUCCUGUUUGAAAAAU